GACGAACGCUGGCGGCGUGCUUAGCACAUGCAAGUCGAACGGAAAGGCCCUUCGGGGUCCUCGAGUGGCGAACGGGUGAGUAACACGUGGGUGAUCUGCCCUGCACUUUGGGAUAAGCCUGGGAAACUGGGUCUAAUACCGAAUAGGACCACGCGCUUCAUGGUGUGUGGUGGAAAGCUUUUGCGGUGUGGGAUGGGCCCGCGGCCUAUCAGCUUGUUGGUGGGGUAAUGGCCUACCAAGGCGACGACGGGUAGCCGGCCUGAGAGGGUGACCGGCCACACUGGGACUGAGAUACGGCCCAGCCUCCUACGGGAGGCAGCAGUGGGGAAUAUUGCACAAUGGGCGCAAGCCUGAUGCAGCGACGCCGCGUGAGGGAUGACGGCCUUCGGGUUGUAAACCUCUUUCAAUAGGGACGAAGCGCAAGUGACGGUACCUAUAGAAGAAGCACCGGCCAACUACGUG
rnacentral:rRNA from 1 species